GACGAACGCUGGCGGCGUGCUUAACACAUGCAAGUCGAACGGAAAGGCCCUGCUUUUGUGGGGUGCUCGAGUGGCGAACGGGUGAGUAACACGUGAGUAACCUGCCCUUGACUUUGGGAUAACUUCAGGAAACUGGGGCUAAUACCGGAUAGGAGCUCCUGCUGCAUGGUGGGGGUUGGAAAGUUUCGGCGGUUGGGGAUGGACUCGCGGCUUAUCAGCUUGUUGGUGGGGUAGUGGCUUACCAAGGCUUUGACGGGUAGCCGGCCUGAGAGGGUGACCGGCCACAUUGGGACUGGGAAACGGCCCAGACCCCGACGGGGGGCAGCGGGGGGGAAUAUUGCAAAAGGGGGGGAGGCCGGAGGCAGCAACGCCGGGGGGGGGAUGACGGCCUUCGGGUUGUAACCCGCUUUCCCCUGGGACGAAGGGGGAGGGACGGUAAUGGGUAAAGAAGCACCGGCUAACUACGU
rnacentral:rRNA from 1 species